rnacentral:sRNA from 1 species
CUCAUUUCGGCAGCCUUCCGACUUGCAACGACAUCGCACCAAGACGAGAACAUAUUACCACCACAAGAGCUGCAUGGAUCCAAGACGAGAAUCAUAUCCAAUCCAAGUUAAAAAUCGAAAAUCAAAAGUCAAAAAUAGAACAUCAACAAUCACUAGACAUUACAAAAGCAGAGGACUUUUAGGAAACGCAACCGCAGAGAAAGGAAAACAAAAACAGACAAAUAUAUAAUUCAAUCCAGGAGAAAUAUUGCCCAGACACUCAAACACGACUAUAACUAAACAGACUUUCACUUGUGCAAACAACAACGAGAUUUGAUCGAUGGCAACGCUUUAUUACGUUUUGAAGACUUGGCCUUUUCUCAAGCUUGCUAGAACUGGAACUGGAACUUGUAGUGUAUCUUAAAUGGUCGAGUCAUCACCAGGAUAUGGCGAAUAGGGCUUCAAGGAGAGGCAUAGGCUAGAGAAAGCUUGAUAUUUGUAUAGGCUGACUGGGGACAGACCUGGUAGUCAAUAGGCGUCAGGGCGGCUGUUCUAAUUUCUGGCGAGGCUGAUCCAGAGGUACUGUCGGAAACGGUGUCAAACAUUUCGAUAAAGCGCGAUCCGCAUGCUAUGGGGAUCAAUGCUGAGUCGGUAACAAGUCCCAUUGUGGUGGUCUGUGACUGGUCCUCUUGAGAAUAACAAGUCGGCUGGACAAAGUUGGAUUCGGUAGGUGUAUGGACGGCCACGUCGGAAAACUCGGUGUUGGUACUGGCGGCCGUAAGAGGUGGUUCCUCAGGCUCGUUGCUUGGUGUUUGGCUACCAGAAGAAGGUCCCGUGGGAGGAGUAACUACCACGCUAACAGUGGGAGAAGAUUCCACAUAGCUGUCUGUUGUAGAGUAGACAGAAAGGGAAGAGGCAGAGCUGGCAGAAGAUGGGAAUGGAGAGUGGAGACUAGAAAAGACCAAAUCGAGUGUGGAAACAGUAACUGUUGACGAGACAGUGUCUGCUGCAGACUUGGCAGCUUGACCAAUGAAUGAAUGGCCAUCAAAUCCUCCUCCGAAUUCAAGAGGUCGGAGCUGAGGCAUGGCUGGUUGUUGGACAAAAAUCGAGUUGCAAGGAAUAUCAAUCUUGAGCGAGGCGGGCUUGGAUGAACGACGGAAGACGCUGCUGAUACGAGUAGCAAAGGAGUUGAUCUUGAAUAAACUACUGUUGGAUAGGGCCUUGGACUGUAUCUAGGUCAGUUUAUGUGGUGGAUAGCGCAUGACUUGAAACGUACCUUUAUAGUGGAGGCAGAGUUGGGCCGGGCCCUGUCCCGAGCGGGGAUAGAUGUCCGCUAAACUCCUUAGCUGCUUCAAUAGUGCUUUCAUUGUUCUGGAUAGACAAACAAGUGAUCAGCCAUAGUAUCUUCAAGCUAUGGUUGAUACUUACUCUAACAUGCUCAGACUGAACGGCAACACCGCCAAAAGCCUUAUUCUUAUUCUUGUUCUUGGGUGACUCGCGGGAAGAGGUUUGGCAGCUUCAAUAGCGGUAGGGCUGUACACAGACAUACGGCGAGGACUAACCUUGUCUUCGGGAUUGAAACAAGGUGCAGCAGCUUGAGCGGCGGUGGGGACGAUCAUAACGGGGUCCUGCUGACCCUGAGAAAUAUUGCUGACGGAGAAGACGGAACAAGUAGACCUGUAUCGAAGAGAGUGGAGAGAAGGGAGAGAAGGUCGCUGGUUGGUAGCAGUUGUAGCAUUAGAGACGGUAGAAGUAGUCUUAUCGAUGGCUUGAGUAGGCAUGUUGGUUUCCUGAGUAUACGAUAGACUAUCAGCCAACAUGCAACCAUCC